rnacentral:misc_RNA from 1 species
GAUGAAGAACGUAGCGAAAUGCGAUAAGUAAUGCGAAUUGCAGAAUCCGUGAGUCAUCGAAUCUUUGAACGCACAUUGCGCCCGCCAGUAUUCUGGCGGGCAUGCCUGUUCGAGCGUCAUUACAACCCUCAGGCCCCCGGGCCUGGCGUUGGGGAUCGGCGGAAGCCCCCUGCGGGCACAACGCCGUCCCCCAAAUACAGUGGCGGUCCCGCCGCAGCUUCCAUUGCGUAGUAGCUAACACCUCGCAACUGGAGAGCGGCGCGGCCACGCCGUAAAACACCCAACUUCUGAAUGUUGACCUCGAAUCAGGUAGGAAUACCCGCUGAACUUAAGCAUAUCAAUAAGCGGAGGA